rnacentral:ncRNA from 2 species
AUAACUACUGACUAAUAAGGUUCCUUGCGAUUAAUCGGGAAACCAGUGAGAUUCUGGUACUGCCCCCGCAACGGUAAUAAAGAGCGUUACUCCAUGGCCACUGAGUAGAUACUUGGGAAGGCGGAGUGACUUAGCAUGGUAUUUUGCUAGAGCUUUUGAGUCCGGAGACCGGCCCUAUUAGACGUUGAGCA